CUUGAACCUGGGAGGCGGAGCGAUUCUCGUGCCUCAGCCUCCCAAGUAGCUGGGAUUACCGACGUGUGCCACCACGCCCAGCUAAUUUUUGUAUUUUUAGUAGAGACGGGGUUUCACCAUGUUGGCCAGGCUGGUCUUGAACUCCCAACCUCAGGUGAUCCGCCCACCUUGGCCUCCCAAAGUCCUGGGAUUACAGGCGUGAGCCACCCACGCCAGG
rnacentral:lncRNA from 1 species